GAUGAAGAACGUAGUGAAAUGCGAUACGUAAUGUGAAUUGCAAAUUCAGUGAAUCAUCGAGUCUUUGAACGCACAUUGCGCCCCCUGGUAUUCCGGGGGGCAUGCCUGUCCGAGCGUCAUUGCUGCCCUCAAGCACGGCUUGUGUGUUGGGCCCCGUCCUCCGAUUCCGGGGACGGGCCCGAAAGGCAGCGGCGGCACCGCGUCCGGUCCUCGAGCGUAUGGGGCUUUGUCACCCGCUCUGUAGGCCCGGCCGGCGCUUGCCGAUCAACCCAAAUUUUUAUCCAGGUUGACCUCGGAUCAGGUAGGGAUACCCGCUGAACUUAAGCAUAUCAAUAAGCGGAGGA
rnacentral:misc_RNA from 1 species